rnacentral:rRNA from 1 species
AUAGGUAUGCUUAGGGAGGAGCUUGCGUCACAUUAGUUAGUUGGUGGGGUAAAGGCCUACCAAGACUAUGAUGUGUAGCCGGGCUGAGAGGUUGAACGGCCACAUUGGGACUGAGACACGGCCCAAACUCCUACGGGAGGCAGCAGUAGGGAAUUUUCGGCAAUGGAGGAAACUCUGACCGAGCAACGCCGCGUGAACGAUGAAGUAUUUCGGUACGUAAAGUUCUUUUAUUAGGGAAGAAUAAAUGAUGGAAAAAUCAUUCUGACGGUACCUAAUGAAUAAGCCCCGGCUAACUAUGUGCCAGCAGCCGCGGUAAUACAUAGGGGGCAAGCGUUAUCCGGAAUUAUUGGGCGUAAAGGGUGCGUAGGCGGUUAAAUAAGUUUAUGGUCUAAGUGCAAUGCUCAACAUUGUGAUGCUAUAAAAACUGUUUAGCUAGAGUAAGAUAGAGGCAAGUGGAAUUCCAUGUGUAGUGGUAAAAUGCGUAAAUAUAUGGAGGAACACCAGUAGCGAAGGCGGCUUGCUGGGUCUUUACUGACGCUGAGGCACGAAAGCGUGGGGAGCAAACAGGAUUAGAUACCCUGGUAGUCCACGCCGUAAACGAUGAGUACUAAACGUUGGGUAAAACCAGUGUUGAAGUUAACACAUUAAGUACUCCGCCUGAGUAGUACGUACGCAAGUAUGAAACUUAAAGGAAUUGACGGGACUCCGCACAAGCGGUGGAUCAUGUUGUUUAAUUCGAAGGUACCCGAAAAACCUCACCAGGUCUUGACAUGCUUCUGCAAAGCUGUAGAAACACAGUGGAGGUUAUCAGUUGCACAGGUGGUGCAUGGUUGUCGUCAGCUCGUGUCGUGAGAUGUUGGGUUAAGUCCCGCAACGAGCGCAACCCUUAUUGUUAGUUACCAGCACGUAAUGGUGGGGACUUUAGCAAGACUGCCAGUGAUAAAUUGGAGGAAGGUGGGGACGACGUCAAAUCAUCAUGCCCCUUAUGACCUGGGCUACAAACGUGAUACAAUGGCUGUUACAAAGGGUAGCUGAAGCGCAAGUUUUUGGCGAAUCUCAAAAACAGU